AACAAUAUAAUAUAGGAGAGAAGAAUAGAAGGAAAGAAAGAAAGAAAGAAAAGAAAUAGUAAUGGAGAGACUAAGGAAGGAAAGAAUGGAAAGAAAGAAAGAAAGAAAGAAAGAAAGAAAGGGAAAAAUUGGUUAGAGAGGUUUGAAGGUAACAAAUAGUCAUGUAAGAAGAGUAUGAAAGGAAGGGUUAAUGCACUUGAUCAGGUACGGAAAGUCAAGAACGAAGGAAGGGUGAAGGAUGAAGGAGUAAAGAAGAAAGGCGGAAGGAAGCGUAAAAUCAAUCAAGGACAUGCAAGUAUAGUAAUGAACUUAUUUUUAGGAAGAAAAUGGAGAAGAAAAAAAGUGAAGGAACAAAUGAAGGAAGAAGGAUAAAUAAGGUGUCAUUGGGAGGCUGAAAAAAUAGAAAAUUACACGCGGAUAUUGAGAAACAAAUGUUAGGAGGGGAAAAUAAAAUGCCUAUGAAUGGAAGGAAAAAGAAGAAAGGAAGGAAGGAAGGAAGCGUAAAAUCAAUCAAGGGCAUGCAAGUAUAGUAAUGAACUUAUUUUUAGGAAGAAAAUGAAGAAGAAAAAAGUGAAGGAACAAAUGAAGGAAGAAGGAUAAAUAAGGUAUCACUGGGAGGCUGAAAAAAUAGAAAAUUACACGCGGAUAUUGAGAAACAAAUGUUAGGAAGGAUAAAUAAAAUGCCUAUGAAUGGAAGGAGUAAAGAAGAAAGGAAGGAAGGAAGCGUAAAAUCAAUCAAGGGCAUGCAAGUAUAGUAAUGAACUUAUUUUUAGGAAGAAAAUGAAGAAGAAAAAAGUGAAGGAACAAAUGAAGGAAGAAGGAUAAAUAAAGUGUCAUUGGGAGGCUGAAAAAAUAGAAAAUUACACGCGGAUAUUGAGAAACAAAUGUUAGGAGGGGAAAAUAAAAUGCCUAUGAAUGGAAGGAAAAAGAAGAAAGGAAGGAAGGAAGGAAGAAAGAAAAAAUAAUGAACCGAUGAUUAUAGGAGGGAAACAAACUUAAGAAAGAAAAUGUAUACAGGAAAUAUAUGAAAGAAUGAAUUAACAGAUAAAUAAACAUAUGAAAUAAGAUGAAAAAAAAAUAUAGGAAGGAAAAAAAAGAGCAAAUGAAACAAAGACCUGAAUAAGAAAGAGAACGAAACAGAUGAAUGGAUGAAUAAAAAAAGGAACAAGUGAAUGAACAGAUGAAUGAAGGAGGAAGCAAAUAAGUGAAGGAAGAAAGGAACAAACGAACACACAUUAUUAAAGGAAAGAAACAAGAGCAGAAAAGAAGGAACAAAGGCGAGGAACAAAGGAAACAAGGAGUGAAUGAGUGAAGAGAGAAAAGAAGAGAGGAAGGAAGGAAUGAAGGAAGGAAGGAAGGAAGGAAAUGUUACCGAAAAAUAAAGAAACAGGAGCAGAAAAGAAGGAACAAAGGCGAGGAACAAAGGAAACAAGGAGUGAAUGAGUGAAGAAAGAAAAGAAGAGAGGAAGGAAUGAAGGAAGGAAGGAAGGAAGGAAGGAAAUGUUACCGAAAAAUAAAGAAACAGGAGCAGAAAAGAAGGAACAAAGGCGAGGAACAAAGGAAACAAGGAGUGAAUGAGUGAAGAGAGAAAAGAAGAGAGGAAGGAAGGAAGGAAUGAAGGAAGGAAGGAAGGAAAUGUUACCGAAAAAUAAAGAAACAGGAGCAGAAAAGAAGGAACAAAG